GCUGCCUGAUGACCACAGAGGAACAUUUGCUGUAGAGACGACAUCUCCUCCCUGUUUGGUGAAGGGAGAGGAUACCUGGAGAGUGACUCACUCUUCUGCUCAGAUCUGUGCCGUCAAAGGAUCAACAGUGGAGAUACCCUGCACCUACACAUACCCAUCAACAAUAAGACAACAAACUACUGUAGUUCAGAGCAGAUUCUGGUUUACUAAAGACAGGUAUGAACCUGUAGAUGUGAGAACAGACCCAGACUACUCAGGUCGUGUUGAGUAUCUUUUUCAUGAGAACGUCUGCACUCUGAGAAUCAAAAACCUGACAGAGAGAGACUCAGCUGUUUACAAGUUCAUGUUCACAACAAACCAAUCAGGAGGAAGUUUAACUGGUGAUGAAAGAGUCACUUUGUCCAUCACAGACCUUCAGGUGCAGGUGGAAAAAAAAGGAAUCAUGC